rnacentral:rRNA from 1 species
UACAGAGGUCCCAAGCGUUGUUCGGAAUUACUGGGCGUAAAGGGCUCGUAGGCGGCUCGUCGCGUCGACCGUGAAAACCCGCGGCUUAACUGCGGGCUUGCGGUUGAUACGGGCGGGCUAGAGUUCGGUAGGGGAGACUGGAAUUCCUGGUGUAGCGGUGAAAUGCGCAGAUAUCAGGAGGAACACCGGUGGCGAAGGCGGGUCUCUGGGCCGAUACUGACGCUGAGGAGCGAAAGCGUGGGGAGCGAACAGG